rnacentral:lncRNA from 1 species
ACCCCAAGCCCUCUCCUCCUUUCUACACCAACCUGAUCCAGUCAAAUCUUCCUGCGCCCCUCAUCUAGUUGAAUGUUCCUCGAGUAGUUAGCUCGAUCCCCAAAGAGUUCUUCCAGGUUAGAACCUCCAGCCUUUUCUACUGAAAUAGCCUGCAGUUUUAGUGUUUGUAUACUCUCUAUUGGAUUCUAUCCUGUCAUUUUUCACAUUUGAGAAACAGAUGAAACUCCCAUUGUUAAGUAGCUUGUUAAUUUUGAGCCGGAUAUGUAUUUGCUUACUAACAUGUGCAGGAAUUUCAGCUACAGUAAACUGAGAAGCUGUCGAUCCGUGGUUUGGUAAACUGAGAAGUUGUAUUGUUAAUCCAUAGCCUGUGCCUGCUCACUUCCUAGUUGCUCUUGCUCUUGCAGUCUAAUCACCUCCGCUGGCCGGAGAGGACGGGAGCUUCUCUCUCCCUGUUCAUAUCCAGAUCCAGAGUAGAUAAUAGAUACUGUAUGUUCCAGCGUUGUCUUCUCGAUGCAACCUCAAGCGGCCGGACAGCAGUAAAGCGUCUCGCCCAGAUCUUAAACUUACAGAAGCGAGCGGGGCAGCGUCCCUUCAGAUCCGAG